AGUGAACGCUGGCGGUAGGCCUAACACAUGCAAGUCGAACGGCAGCACAGUAAGAGCUUGCUCUUACGGGUGGCGAGUGGCGGACGGGUGAGGAAUACAUCGGAAUCUACUUUUUCGUGGGGGAUAACGUAGGGAAACUUACGCUAAUACCGCAUACGACCUACGGGUGAAAGCAGGGGAUCUUCGGACCUUGCGCGAUUGAGUGAGCCGAUGUCGGAUUAGCUAGUUGGCGGGGUAAAGGCCCACCAAGGCGACGAUCCGUAGCUGGUCUGAGAGGAUGAUCAGCCACACUGGAACUGAGACACGGUCCAGACUCCUACGGGAGGCAGCAGUGGGGAAUAUUGGACAAUGGGCGCAAGCCUGAUCCAGCCAUACCGCGUGGGUGAAGAAGGCCUUCGGGUUGUAAAGCCCUUUUGUUGGGAAAGAAAGGCAGCAGGUUAAUACCCCGCUGUUCUGACGGUACCCAAAGAAUAAGCACCGGCUAACUUCGUG
rnacentral:rRNA from 1 species